GGGGGGACCUUAUAUUUCUAUACAGGCUAAGCAUGCCAUAGCAUUUGGGACAUGCUUAAGCAGGGGUCUCCAACCCUUCUCCUGGAGAGCUACUGUCCUGCAGAUUACAGCUCCAACCCCAGUCCAACACACCUGAACCAGCUAAUCAAGGUGUUCAGGGCUACUUGAUUAUUACAGACAGGUGUGUUGGAGCAGGGUUGGAACUGAAGUCUGCAGGAUGGUAGCUCUCCAGGAGCAGGGUUGGAGAUUCCUGUGCUAAAGGCAAUAAACAUGUUACGACUAUGAAUUACAGUAUAUGAAUUACCAAGGACAACAGUUGCACCUAAAAAUGACAAGAAGUCACCUGCAUCAUGGAUGGCUUGGUCUUAUUGUGCACAAUCUUUCAGCCUACCCACACAGAAGAAUCAACCAAAGCAUCCAAUCAACCACCACCAACAAACACCAGCAAAACAACACAGAUCUCUUUAUUAACCAUCUAGCAACCAGCUACAACAUCUUAGCAACACACUAGCAAACACAUUUCAACAUCUUGUCAUUUUCCCAGAACACCCUAGCACAUAUCGAACAAUGCCGUAGCA
ensembl:lncRNA